rnacentral:rRNA from 1 species
ACGGGAGGCAGCAGUGGGGAAUAUUGCACAAUGGGGGAAACCCUGAUGCAGCGACGCCGCGUGAGUGAAGAAGUAUUUCGGUAUGUAAAGCUCUAUCAGCAGGAAAGAAAAUGACGGUACCUGACUAAGAAGCCCCGGCUAACUACGUGCCAGCAGCCGCGGUAAUACGUAGGGGGCAAGCGUUAUCCGGAUUUACUGGGUGUAAAGGGAGCGUAGACGGUAUGGCAAGUCUGAAGUGAAAGCCCGCGGCUUAACUGCGGGACUGCUUUGGAAACUGUCAGACUAGAGUGUCGGAGAGGUGAGUGGAAUUCCCAGUGUAGCGGUGAAAUGCGUAGAUAUUGGGAGGAACACCGGAGGCGAAGGCGGCUCACUGGACGAUAACUGACGUUGAGGCUCGAAAGCGUGGGGAGCAAACAGGAUUAGAUACCCUGGUA